rnacentral:rRNA from 1 species
UACGAAGGGGGCUAGCGUUGCUCGGAAUCACUGGGCGUAAAGGGUGCGUAGGCGGGUUUGUAAGUCAGUGGUGAAAGCCCUCAGCUUAACUGAGGAAUUGCCGUUGAUACUGCAAGUCUUGAGUACACUUGAGGUAUGCGGAAUGGGUCAUGUAGCGGUGAAAUGCAUAGAUAUGACCCGGAACACCAAUUGCGAAGGCAGCAUGCUAAACAAAGAUUGACGCUGAGGCUCGAAAGCGUGGGGAUCAAACAGG